CUCCCAUUCACACAUAGCCAAGUAGUACUCGCUAUGCUACACUAAGAAUGACAAUUCACUCACCACACGCAGCCGUACGCCCCGGUUCCGAUUUGCUUGAGACGGGUGUACUUCUCCGGAACCUCCCACACCGUGCUGUUGAUUUCUUCGCGGGAGAAGCUCGCCCGAGCCUCCAUGGCAAAGAAAAGGAAAAGGCGAAGGGUUGGAGUAAUAACUUCUCCUCCCUCCUGGUGAACCGACAACUGACAGUCUCGCUUGGAAAGAUGACAGAUCUUCUGGGAAGCCAAACCGGACAGACAAUGUGCAUCACUGUCACCUCACGGCUGGUCUGACACACAGCCAGAGCUGCCAUGACAGGCGGAAGUAACACGUUUUAGCCUGAAUGCUAACAAUCUGUGACACAUGACGUACACUCAGACUGACCCCACCCAAACCAGCACUUGUGGUUAACAGUGGACUAUAAUUCAGCAGUUAUAUCUGUUUGUUUUUUUUGUAUUGGUUUAUGACAUGUUAACGCGCCGAGUAAAUAAAAACACUACGGUUGCUGAAA